UUUUAUGAGAGUUUGAUCCUGGCUCAGGACGAACGCUGGCGGCGUGCCUAAUACAUGCAAGUCGUACGCUUCUUUUUCCACCGGAGCUUGCUCCACCGGAAAAAGAGGAGUGGCGAACGGGUGAGUAACACGUGGGUAACCUGCCCAUCAGAAGGGGAUAACACUUGGAAACAGGUGCUAAUACCGUAUAACAAUCGAAACCGCAUGGUUUUGAUUUGAAAGGCGCUUUCGGGUGUCACUGAUGGAUGGACCCGCGGUGCAUUAGCUAGUUGGUGAGGUAACGGCUCACCAAGGCCACGAUGCAUAGCCGACCUGAGAGGGUGAUCGGCCACAUUGGGACUGAGACACGGCCCAAACUCCUACGGGAGGCAGCAGUAGGGAAUCUUCGGCAAUGGACGAAAGUCUGACCGAGCAACGCCGCGUGAGUGAAGAAGGUUUUCGGAUCGUAAAACUCUGUUGUUAGAGAAGAAUAAGGAUGAGAGUAACUGUUCAUCCCUUGACGGUAUCUAACCAGAAAGCCACGGCUAACUACGUGCCAGCAGCCGCGGUAAUACGUAGGUGGCAAGCGUUGUCCGGAUUUAUUGGGCGUAAAGCGAGCGCAGGCGGUUUCUUAAGUCUGAUGUGAAAGCCCCCGGCUCAACCGGGGAGGGUCAUUGGAAACUGGGAGACUUGAGUGCAGAAGAGGAGAGUGGAAUUCCAUGUGUAGCGGUGAAAUGCGUAGAUAUAUGGAGGAACACCAGUGGCGAAGGCGGCUCUCUGGUCUGCAACUGACGCUGAGGCUCGAAAGCGUGGGGAGCAAACAGGAUUAGAUACCCUGGUAGUCCACGCCGUAAACGAUGAGUGCUAAGUGUUGGAGGGUUUCCGCCCUUCAGUGCUGCAGCUAACGCAUUAAGCACUCCGCCUGGGGAGUACGACCGCAAGGUUGAAACUCAAAGGAAUUGACGGGGGCCCGCACAAGCGGUGGAGCAUGUGGUUUAAUUCGAAGCAACGCGAAGAACCUUACCAGGUCUUGACAUCCUUUGACCACUCUAGAGAUAGA
rnacentral:rRNA from 1 species